AGAAAAGCUAUGAUCGUGUAAAGUAGAGACCCAUUUUCUAUCAGAGAGAGAAAAUCACCGGCUGCAAGUUUUCUUUAGUUCAGAUGGCGAUCGAAUUUCCCACGUUAGCUGCGCUUUUGAACGGUCCGCAGGGCGGAUCAGUAGACUGCGCCGUAGAUCGUACGUUACACAUACCGAGUGCCCGCGCGUUUUUUGCGUGGGAAACAGGGUGGUACCGCGGGUGAUACAGCCUCGUCCCUAUU
rnacentral:ncRNA from 1 species